rnacentral:rRNA from 1 species
UACGUAGGGGGCUAGCGUUGUCCGGAUUUAUUGGGCGUAAAGAGCGUGUAGGCGGCCAUGUAGGUCCGGUGUGAAAACUCGAGGCUUAACCUCGAGAUGUCAUCGGAAACCAUUUGGCUAGAGUCCGGAAGAGGAGAGUGGAAUUCCUGGUGUAGCGGUGAAAUGCGCAGAUAUCAGGAAGAACACCAAUGGCGAAAGCAGCUCUCUGGGACGGUACUGACGCUGAGGGACGAAAGCUAGGGGAGCGAAUGGG